rnacentral:rRNA from 1 species
CACGUAGGGUGCGAGCGUUGUCCGGAAUUAUUGGGCGUAAAGAGCUCGUAGGCGGUGUGUCGCGUCGGCCGUGAAAACCUGCAGCUUAACUGUGGGCUUGCGGUCGAUACGGGCAUCACUGGAGUUCGGCAGGGGAGACUGGAAUUCCUGGUGUAGCGGUGAAAUGCGCAGAUAUCAGGAGGAACACCGGUGGCGAAGGCGGGUCUCUGGACAGUUC